rnacentral:rRNA from 1 species
CCUACGGGAGGCAGCAGUAGGGAAUCUUUCACAAUGGGCGAAAGCCUGAUGGAGCAACGCCGCGUGCAGGAUGAAGGCCUUCGGGUUGUAAACUGCUUUUAUAAGCGAGAAAUAUGAUGGUAACUUAUGAAUAAGGAUCGGCUAACUACGUGCCAGCAGCCGCGGUCAUACGUAGAAUCCGAGCAUUAUCCGGAGUGACUGGGUGUAAAGAGUUGCGUAGGUGGCAUAAUAAGUAGGUAGUGAAAUCUGGUGGCUCAACCAUUCAGACUAUUAGCUAAACUGUUAAGCUCGAGACCUUUAGGGGUAACUGGAAUUUCUAGUGUAGGAGUGAAAUCCGUAGAUAUUAGAAGGAACACCAAUAGCGUAGGCAGGUUGCUGGGACGGUUCUGACACUAAGGCACGAAAGCGUAGGGAGCAAACGGGAUUAGAUACCCCUGUAGUC